rnacentral:rRNA from 1 species
UACGUAGGGUGCGAGCGUUGUCCGGAAUUAUUGGGCGUAAAGAGCUCGUAGGCGGUUUGUUGCGUCUAUCGUGAAAACCUGCAGCUUAACUGUGGGCUUGCGGUGGAUACGGGCAGACUAGAGUUCGGUAGGGGAGACUGGAAUUCCUGGUGUAGCGGUGAAAUGCGCAGAUAUCAGGAGGAACACCGGUGGCGAAGGCGGGUCUCUAGGCCGACACUGACGCUGAGGAGCGAAAGCGUGGGGAGCGAACAGG